rnacentral:lncRNA from 1 species
UAAAAUGCAAAACUUCUCAAUUUAUUUGGAUAUGAAAUAUGCUGCUUGUUAGUGAGGUCCCAUGAGAUUCGAAUAGUACCUUAUCUGGGGAUCACCUGAAACUGCUUCCCUUGUAUCAAUAGAUUGUCAUAAUAUCUUCUGUCAUAAAUCAUAAUAUCAUUGGUAGUUGUCACCCUUCUCUAGUUUAUCUUCUGUCUGAUGUAUAAACUCAGAGGAUAUCCUCACCUUAAAUUUUUCACGGAAUUCCAGUAGAAUGGCAUUUAUGGUUUUUUUCCUUCACUUCAGGAAUUGGACAAGCGAACUCAGUGCUCAAUUAGCAUAACUGGAUCUGAUGUGUCCGAUGGUGUUAUCUUUAGUAACACAAAAUGCCACAUGAAAUUUAGAAACAACUCCAGUGAAGAUCUUGAUGGCUUUGACACUCCACGGAGCAGAAGUUCUUGUUUCUCUUUCACCCAUGAUUCAAUAAAAAAUGUUGAAAACUGUGAUGUUCGGCAAUACCUUGGGAAUUUUGGAAUGGGAAACAAUAAAGAGCUAAGAGAGACAAGGUCUAGUUAUUUUGCUGAUGACUAUGUCUCCCAGAAAGUUAACCCGGACGUACUGAAGGAUAUGGCGACCUUUCAGAAUCGAAUGCAAUAUGGAGGGUUUCUUAUAUGUAACAUUAGAACAUUCUGACAGUGAACAGAGUAAAUAGUGCCCACUGGCCAAUGAAGUUAAGUAAUUAUCAUUGUAACUUGUAAAGUGAUUAGCAUUGUGCAAUUAUUUGUGUUGUGUGUGUAGUUGUCCAUUUGUUUCUUUUUUCCGUCAAAUGUGAAUUUUUGGUCACUGAUAUGACCUUUUAUCAUGUUUCAGUAAUGGUCAUGACGUGCUAUUUUGUUUACAUGGGAAUAAUUGACGCCAUCUAGCACUACAGAAAAAAAGAGCUGUUAGAUGUCACACUGAUGAAGUUCAUGAUGUUUGAGCAGAAUUUGAUGUGAGAAUUGUUUGAUUGAUAGGUUGGGGAUGUAGCUCAACUGGUAGAGUGUUAGUCUACGCAUGAUAAAGGUACGGGGUUCAACUCACAUCUCCAUUAAAAUGUUUUUUUUCCUUUUAAUUUAUCUCUGUCUUCCAUGUGUAUAAAAAAGUUAUAAAAAUAUUUGUUGUGCAAAAGCAAUCAAUAUUUGGGAUGAAGCUCAACUGGUAGAGCGUUAGUCUAAGCAUGAUAAAGGUACGGGUUUCAGUUCCUCGCAAAUCUUGCUUUGCUUCUUGUUGGGCUUAGAGCCUUGUAAAAUGUUUGUAAUCUGUACAUUUGUCCCUUGUAAAUAAAAUAUGAAAAAAAAUAAUCUCAUGGUCACAGCUGUCUCAGGCUCUUGGCUCCCGCUGGCAUCAUUUUGGCAACAUGCCAACAGGGUGCAGGGCAUGCAGCCACGCGCGCUGGAGGCUUUCAACACGGGACCCCGACGUGGACGGUGGAUGGAUCGAAUGCAUGUGCUGGUAGCUACAUUCGCGGAUCGGAUGACCCGUCGCGAGCGAGAUGAAACCGUCCGCCAAAUCACCCGGCGACACCACACUCUUGACGCUACGUGCGAGCGCCACACCGACGAUCGACGGCGACGGCGACGGCGACGGCGACAUCUGAGACGAGGAUACUCAGAGUCGUCGUGCAUGCAAUCAGUAAGACAGGUAAUGCCCAACCGGCCAAAUUAAAGCGCUCUUAUCCAGAAAAGGCUUGUUGGAGCCUUGGAGAGGGGAAUAAACCAAACCUUCCAUCUCUCUCGUCUCUACACCCGCACCGCGCCGGCCACCUCACCGCCUCUCCAGAUUAAUUUCGCCCUCCGCCGCCUCGGCACCGUACGAGCCCGAUCGGGGAUUCCACCAGAUCGAUCUUGGCCGCCGGAGCCGCUGGGUAAGCGAGAGCACUCCUGCUUGGGCUCCGUCUCAACAUGUCGCAUGCUGCUGCCGAGUGAUAACGCUUGCUGCAAGCAGGAGUAGAUCGAUUCGACGGCCAUGGGGGGCGCCGUGCUGGUGGCCGUCGCGGCCGCCAUUGGCAACUUGCUGCAGGGCUGGGAUAAUGCCACCAUUGCAGGUAAUGAUCUCUCUGUAUGUAACUCGUUGCCGUCCAAGUCAAGAUGUUUCGAAAAUUCCAACUGAUUCUCGCUCAUAGAUUAACUGUGUUCUGACCCUGCUAGUUAACCUGACGCCUGAUCUCUGCUGCAGGGGCAGUCUUGUACAUAAAGAAGGAAUUCAAUUUACAGAGCGAGCCCCUAAUAGAGGGUCUCAUCGUGGCCACGUCCCUCAUUGGGGCAACAGCCGUCACGACGAUCGCCGGGGCGGUGGCUGACUCCAUUGGAAGGCGGCCCGUGCUGAUCGCCUCGGCUGUCCUCUACUUUGUCAGUGGGUUGGUGAUGCUCUGGGCACCAAGCGUGUAUGUCUUGCUCCUAGCAAGGCUCAUCGAUGGACUUGGUAUCGGUUUGGCUCUCACGAUUGUUCCACUAUACAUCUCCGAGACUGCGCCGACGGAGAUUCGAGGAUCGUUGAACACGCUUCCGCAGUUCAAUGCGACCGGUGGGAUGUUCCUUUCUUAUUGCAUGGUGUUUGGGAUGUCUCUCUUUCCAAAACCUAAUUGGAGGAUCAUGCUUGGGGUUCUAUCGAUCCCCUCGCUUAUAUAUUUUGCACUGGCUGUCUUCUACCUGCCUGAGUCACCGAGGUGGCUCGUGAGCAAAGGAAGGAUGGUCGAGGCUAAGAGAGUCUUGCAGAGGCUGCGGGGAAGGGAAGAUGUCUCAGGUUUGUAUGAAUUCGCAACCUCAAUGGAAUUCAUUGUGAUUGUGGUGGCUGUACAAUUUGUGUUAUGAUUAUUACUCAUUUUGGGUUAACUAUUACACAGGAGAAAUGGCUAUUCUGGUCGAAGGUCUGGGUGUUGGGAAAGAUACACGUGUUGAAGAAUACAUAAUUGGCCCUGAUGAAGGGCUGGCUCCACAUCCAGAGAAGAUCAAACUAUAUGGACCUGAAGAAGGCCAAACCUGGGUUGCCCGACCUGUUAGUGGUCAAAGUGCACUUGGAAGUGCGUAUGGUCUCCUCUCUCAACAUGGGAGCAUGGCUAGUCAAGGUAAGCCCUUUGUGGAUAAUGUUGUCACUCUUUUCGAUAGCGUCCACGAGAAGAUGCCCGAUAUAAUUUCGAGCAUGCGGAGCACAUUGAUUCCCAACUUUGGCAGCAUGUUUAGUGUCAUGGAGCAGCAGCAGCGGGCUAAAGCUGACUCGGAUGCCGAGAGUCAAAUGGAAGGCAAUGAGUACGCUUCAAAUCAUGGUGGAGAUGACAAUGAGGAAAGCCUCCAAAGCCCACUUAUUUCUCGACAAUCAACAAGUGUGGAAGGAAUACCUCAUGGUAGCAUAAUUGGUGGAGGAUGGCAAUUGGCAUGGAAAUGGACCGAGAGAGAAGGUGCAGACGGGCAAAAGGAAGGUGGCUUCCAACGUAUUUACUUGCAUGAGGAGGGUGUACAAGGCAGCAAGGGUUCUAUAUUGUCAUUACUAGGGGGAGAUGUCCCUCCUGGUAGUGAGUUCGUCCAGGCUGCGGCUCUUGUGAGUCAACCAGCUCUUUACUCCAAGAAACUGUUGGAGCAGCGUGCUGCUGGUCCUACCAUGGUGCAUCCAUUAGAGGCAGUUGCUAAAGGUCCAAAAUGGGCCGACCUUUUUGAACCUGGAGUGAAGCAUGCACUGUUUGUUGGCAUAGGAAUACAGAUCCUGCAACAGGUAAGAAGAUUAUUUUCCUCUAUCCUUCAAACUAUAUAUAUCCCUACAAGCACCCAGUAACUAGUUUAACGCUCCAGAAGCACCAAAAGAAUUUCUUACAAUGCUUUAAUGAAUUAAUGCCUUUUCUCUUAAAAAUAAAUAGUUAUAUUGAAUCAUCUUGCUGCCAUGUGCUGCACUUUUGCUAAUAACUUUCUUGUUAUAGUUCCUACUUUCGGUUAUACCAGCAAACAUUAGGAGCCUAGCGAUUAUGGAAAGCAACCUGAUGGUAUUUUCUUGCUAUUUCCGAAGAAGGAAACAAACCAAAUGAUACGAUGGAUGCUAAUCUGGGUAGCAUAGUUUUACUUAUCACACUUCCGGUGCUACCGAUAAAUCUUUAGGUCCUAACACGAGUGAACUUAGCUUUGAUAUCUUGUAGUAGUCAUUCUAGAAAGAACCACAACUUGGUGUUCUCUAUAUGAAACACCUAAAAAAUUCUUUAAAUAAGAUAUUGGUGAACUAUUUAAGUGGACGGUUCCAAUCUUACUCUUACUAAUCGGAGGCUCCACGUUAACCUUUACCUGACGCUGUAAAAAAAUAGAUAAAUCCUAAAAAUUCUAACAAAAUUCAGAAAUACCUAUCCAUCAAUCAGUAGACUCUAAUCAUCACAACCAUUGGUUCUAUUAUGUUUUCUAAAAAAACUAUGCACAUCUGUCGUUAUGAAAAUACAGUAAAGUAACACCCUACAUAUGUAUUUAAAUUUCCUACUUCUACCAUUAUUAGGUAAAAUAAAACCCAUAACCUUCAUCAAAAGUUUCCACAUAUACCGUUAUAAAUAAUUAAAAUAUUCUCUCAAAUUUGCAUAUAAAUUACCAACAUUGUCAUUAUUAAAAUAACCUAAGGUAGCCCCUAAAUGUACAUUGAAAUCAGCUACAUCUGUUAGUAUAAAAAUAAUCCCAAAAUACAAAAAUAUAUGAUUCUAAAUUACCCCAUUGUUAAUAUUGAAAAUACUAAAUUAAGUAAUACAUGAAUGAUGUGUGUGUAACCAUAUAGACCAUGUAUACAUGUAUGGAAGAAGCGAAGAUAAUGUUAAUUUCCAUGUUAAACAAAUAGCUCGAAGUAAGGGUUCAAUUAAACACAUGUCAAAUACAUGGAUAUAAGAUGUGAAGUGAAAAACUAUGGAUGUGAAUGAAAAAGUAUAUAGAGUAAUUGCUAACUAAAAUCUAUCACACCCUGAUGAGGAUGAAUACAUACCUAUAUAGGUAUUGUGUUAGAAUGUUUAACAAAAGAGAGAGUGCGCGUAAAGUAGGAAAUUUUGAUUUUUUUUAGCUAUACACUUUUUUUUCAUAAAUUUCAAAUAUUUAUGUCUCAGUGUGGUAGCACAGACUGAUAGACUAGUUCUAUUAAGAUACUGGAGAAUUGUUGUAAGUGGGCUAUGGGACUGCUCAAUGUUGUUAGCAGAAGCAUGGAAACAGUAUGUUGAUCUUGUCUGCCCAUUCAUUUACAUGGAUAUUCCUGAAUACAUUUACCAAAUAUGGUUGUAGGUUAAAGUCUCGGCAUGAUGUUUCAUGUUUGUUGACUUAAUUUUGUUUUAUUUUAACUGUUUCCCCGUCAAAUGUGGUAUACAAUGUGUUACUAUUCGAUUAUUAACUUUAUGUUUUUUUUAUGCAGUUUGCUGGCAUCAGUGGUGUUCUCUACUACACUCCUCAAAUUCUUGAGCAAGCAGGUGUUGGUGUUCUUCUUUCUAACAUUGGCCUUAGCUCAUCUUUGGCAUCUAUUCUUAUCAGCGCCUUGACAACCUUAUUGAUGCUUCCGAGCAUUGGCAUUGCCAUGAGGUUCAUGGAUAUGUCUGGAAGGAGGUUAGACAUUGUGUUUGAUAUACUAUUGCUUAUUAUGCGUAAAUACAUUUUUGGUAGAAGUAAGUAACGAGGGUAAUAAUUCUUUUGUCUUGUUUCUCGUUCAGGUUUCUUCUCCUUGCGACAAUCCCUAUCCUAAUAGUUGCACUAGUCGUCUUGGUCAUGGUCAACAUUGUGGACGUGGGAACCACAGUGCAUGCUGCACUCUCCACGAUCAGCCUCAUACUCUAUUUCUGUUUCUUCGUCAUGGGGUUUGGGCCUAUUCCCAACAUUCUUUGUGCAGAGAUCUUCCCCACCACUGUUCGUGGAAUUUGCAUAGCCAUCUGCGCCUUUACCUCCUGGAUCGGUGACAUCAUUGUGACAUACACUCUCCCCGUGAUGCUAAACUCCAUCGGGCUCGCCGGUGUCUUCGGGAUAUAUGCUGUUUUUUGUAUCAUAGCUCUUGUAUUUGUAUACAUGAAGGUGCCGGAGACAAAAGGCAUGCCCCUCGAGGUCAUCAUCGAGUUCUUCUCUGUUGGAGCAAAGCAAGCUAAGGAGGAUUAAUCGCCCGACUAGGGAUCAACGUCACUGGCUGUAAUUUUUUGGUUUCCAAACUUCAUCGUGGUUAAUUAAUCCUCUGAUGUCGUCUGAAAGUUACAUUUACCUACGAAGGAAGGGACCAGCGACGGUGUGCCUAAAGAGUUGGUUUGGCAGUACAUGGUGUCAUGGCUGGGCUUGGGUUUCUUUUUGUGAUCUUGCUUCUACUUUGAUGUCCCAUGAGAUCCAAAUAGUACCUUAUAUAUCUAGGGAUCACCUGAAACUGCUUCCCUUGUAUCAAUAGAUUGUCAUAAUAUCUUCUGUCAUAAAUCAUAAUAUCAUUGGUAGUUGUCACCCUUCUCUAGUUUAUCUUCUGUCUGAUGUUUAAAUUUAGAGGAUAUCCUCACCUUAAAUUUUUC